CCCUUCUUUAUAAAGCGCCGUGCCAAAAUCAGCAGGUCUGAGCCUUUUCUGGUUCAGUUUUGCCGGUCAUGCUGGUACGGUACGUCACAAAGAAGGGAGAGCAAAAAGUCGCAGCAUCGGAAACGAGACCCGGAGGGACCUCUUUUUUAAUGUCCCGUGUCCUGUGUCUCAAGAUUCUGCGCUACACUU